rnacentral:rRNA from 1 species
AGUGAACGCUGGCGGUAUGCUUUACACAUGCAAGUCGAACGGCAACACACUUAGAGCUUCUGCCUACGGGUGGCGGGUGGCGUAAGGGAUCGGAAUGCACCGGGAUCUACUGUUUCGCGGGGCAUAACGUAGGGUAACUUCCGAUAAUACCUCAUACGACCAGCGGGGGAAAGCACGGGAAUUUUUGACCUUGCGCGUUUGAAUGAGCCGAUGUCGGAUUAGCUAGUUGGCGGGGUAAAGGCCCACCAAGGCGACGAUCCGUAGCUGGUCUGAGAGGAUGAUCAGCCACACUGGAACUGAGACACGGUCCAGACUCCUACGGGAGGCAGCAGUGGGGAAUAUUGGACAAUGGGCGCAAGCCUGAUCCAGCCAUGCCGCGUGGGUGAAGAAGGCCUUCGGGUUGUAAAGCCCUUUUGCUAGGAAAGAAAAGCAGCAGGUUAAUACCGCGCGGUUCUGACGGUACCCGAAGAAUAAGCACCGGCUAACUUCGUG